rnacentral:misc_RNA from 1 species
UCUCUCUCUCUCUCUCUCUCUCCCUCUCCAUCAUCAACUGCACCGCCACGCUUCCUUCUAUUGUGUUCCCCAUGCGCAUCCUUCAACUCUUUUCCUCUCUCUGCCUUCCAAUUUCAUCCCUUUAUUCUUCUAUUUGGAAACCCAUUUCUCGCAUCUCUUUUUAAUGGAUACCACUGCCUUUCACUCUACAUUUCUACUUGUCCCUUUCCUUAAACUGGGCGGUAGAAUUUGAAAACCAACGUCAUUUCAGAUAUUGGGCAAGUCGGAGCGGAAAUGGUGGCUGAAGCUUGGAUACUGAAGAUGGGUAACCAGGUAAGUACCAAUAUCAAGCACGCACUCCUUCUCGAACCUUACAAAAAGAAGAACCCAAAAAGACCAGAUACCAAACAAAGAGAAACUAUUGGAAUCCUUUCUUUUGAAGUUGCUAAUGUCAUGUCCAAAACUGUAAAUCUCCAUAAAUCCCUCACCGAUUCCGAGGUCUCCAAGCUUAAAGCCGAGAUCUUGAAAUCUGAGGGAGUUAACAACUUAGUUUCCACCGAUGAAAAUUACCUUCUCCAGCUUGCUUUAGCUGAGAAGCUCGAUGACCUCAGCCGGGUAGCUAGUGUUGUUUCUAGGCUUGGCAAGAAGUGUUCUGAGCCUGCUUUGCAGGGUUUUGAGCAUGUUUAUGGGGAUAUAGUGAGUGGGAUCAUUGACGUGAAGCAGUUGGGAUUUUUAGUUAAGGAUAUGGAAGGGAUGGUUAGGAAAAUGGAGAGGUAUGUUAAUGCAACCUCUAAUUUGUGUGCGGAAAUGGAGGUGUUAAAUGAACUGGAGCAGGCUACCAAGAAAUUCCAGCAGAACCAGCACGAGGAGAGUCGCAGAGCUUUUGAGCAGAAGUUUAUUUGGCAGAAGCAGGAUGUUAGGCAUCUUAAGGAGAUUUCGCUUUGGAACCAGACUUAUGAUAGGGUUGUCGAGUUGUUAGCUAGGACAGUUUGUACUAUUUAUGCUAGGAUUUGUGUGGUGUUUGGGGAAUCUAUGUUGAGGAAGGAGAGCUGUGGGGCUAAUGGAGAGAUUGGUUCUUCCCCUCUUAUGAAGGGUGAAUGUGGUGAGGUUUCAGGUCAGAUAAUGAUUUCAGGACAUCUGAAACGGGCUAUUAGCAGGAAAAGCAGUAAUGGUUUUCAAUCGGGACCCACUGAGAGACCAGCGGUGGUGAAAAGAGCAACGAGUAUUAAAUCUAGAAUUGAUUCACGGAGAGGUGAAGAAACAUUAUUUCCAACUGAAGAAAUCAAUUUUCCAUGUGGGGCUAGUCCUGGAAGGCUAUUCAUGGAUUGCCUGAGUUUGAGUAGUUCUGCCUCUAAAUUGGAUAACGUUGAGGAUGAUGUUAUUGAUAAUGAAGACAGGGGUAGCCAAAUUUCUGGUUGUUGUAGCGGUGGUAACGGUGGCAUGAAGAGAGAGCACCCAAGCAUUUCAGAUUGUUCUAAUCGAAUCCCAAGUGGUGUCUCUUUCAGUGGAGAUCAUAGACAAGCUAGGUUUGGUGUUAUGAAUGCCUGGUUUGCCCCCAAAAGUAGGUUAACAGAGCACGCUUCAACUUCCACAGUGGGAGGAUCUGCUCUUGCCUUGCGUUAUGCAAACAUCAUCAUAGUUAUAGAAAAGCUGCUUCGCUAUCCCCAUUUAGUUGGUGAGGAAGCCAGGGACGAUUUAUAUCAGAUGUUACCAACAAGCUUAAGAAUGUGUUUGAGGACUACUCUCAAGUCUUAUGUCAAGAACCUGGCUAUAUAUGAUGCUCUGCUUGCCCAUGAUUGGAAAGAAACUCUUGAUAGGAUUUUAAGCUGGCUUGCUCCAUUGGCAAGCAUGAUCAGAUGGCAAAGUGAACGUAAUUUUGAGCAGCAUCAAAUUGUCAAAAGGACAAAUGUUCUGCUGCUUCAGACAUUGUAUUUUGCUGACAGGGGAAAG